GUCAGAGUCUUCAGCAGAAGAUGAAGUGAACACAAACACAAGAUCUUGGUCUCCAAUGUCUCAGAGAACAUCUCCAGCCCCUAAGCAGCAUGGAGGCUACCAUGGUCCAUCCGAAGGGAAGGAGAUUGGCAGCUGCACAGGAUGGAGGAUGCCACCUAGGGUAAAGUGGAGCUGGGGAGAAACCAUACAUCCCAAACUUCUGAAGGUAGCUGACCACGGUGUUUGUGCUGAUGGAAGAUGUACUAUAAUUGCAAAUAUCAAAAAAGAAGCAAGCUGAUUUAAGGAAGGCCAUCUCGGCAAUGUGAAUGGAUGCUGAAGAGCUCCAUAAUCAGACCUGUGUGUGGUAGGACAAUAAGGCAAGGGCACAGGGAUUCCCAAUGUCCAUGGACCAAAUUUUGAAAUCCUUGAAAAACAAGCACAUGCUGCCUGUCUUUCGAUGCCCCCUCCUCUGUGACUGUGCAGGAGCCUCAGGUGCUGGCCACAGUGUGUUUUUGAGAAUUUUACCUCUUAAAUAAAAGGGAAACAUUGAUGGGCUACCAUUGUCCUGCUGAAGAUGGGGUGGAGAUUAAAAUCAUCCAUGAGGAUCCUGGACGUGAUCCUUUCAUACUCAGAAGCCACUUCAAGGCUCUACCAUGGACAGAGCAUUCAACCGCACUCCCAGAUUACACCGUUCAGGAGGUCAUCAUUUAUAAUGUGUUUGUGUAAGAACUCAAAGGAAACAUUUGUUAAGUUAGAAGAGCGUGGAGAAAAAAAAAGUGACCUAAUGUAGAAGAGAGUAUGGUAGCUUCCCAGGGGGUGUGUAGAAGCAAAGAAAGGAAACCUUUUCUUCAUGCCUUUUGAGUUCAGCAAAGUGGUGUCAGUGACUUAUUAGAAGAGGCUAAUGCCACAUCAUGUGCCUCCUGCAGCUCACGAAGGGGAAGAAAGUUCUACCCAUGCCUUUUAAUUUCAAACAUGGAAUCCUAACAUUUUUAAAAGUCAUGGCUUCGCUUACAUGUGGUCACCCCUCCUCACCUGAAAAUGAUUAUCUCCAUGGAAGUGUUGUAAGAGACUGUGAAUUAGAAUGCUUUG
rnacentral:lncRNA from 1 species